rnacentral:ncRNA from 1 species
CGGCACUCUGGAGACGCCCGCACCGUGCGGGGGCCGAAGGUGAAAGCAGGAUGGCGAUGGCCGUCCGGCGAAUCUCUCAGGCAAAAGGACAGAGCAG